ACUCCCAUUCCACUGUCUGUCUCAAUAGCUCAGAAUAGACAGCAUAUAUAGGCUCGUCCGAUAAACGUCCACGGAAUUCUCCGCCUUCCACAACAUAUGACGGGAGUGACUCACUCAUGUUACCUAAUCUCAGCCUCGGGCGAGGCAGGGACACAUUCCCUGCAGUCGGUGAGGAGGGCACAGAAACGCGGAGACAGCGAAGGCGCCUUUGGCCUACGUGAGGACUCCGCUCCCCAGGCCUUGAUUCGGGCUGCCGGGCAGUCUAGCUCUACUCCUACUCUUGCACCCAGGUUUCCCUCUAGUGUGGGAGGAGAGAAGGCAAGGGGGCUGUUAUUGGCUCUCAUCCCUUCACGGAGCCAGCCUGUGGCCGUAGUUAGCUCUUUUACUUCAGAGUUCGGCGUAGCUUUCCUGCCUUCCACAUAUCUGCUGCAUUUCCUACGCCGCCACCA